UACGUAGGGGGCGAGCGUUGUCCGGAUUUAUUGGGCGUAAAGAGCGUGUAGGCGGCCAGGUAGGUCUGCUGUGAAAACUCGAGGCUCAACCUCGAGACGUCGGCGGAAACCAUCUGGCUAGAGUCCGGAAGAGGAGAGUGGAAUUCCUGGUGUAGCGGUGAAAUGCGCAGAUAUCAGGAAGAACACCCGUGGCGAAGGCGGCCCACUGGUCCGGUACUGACGCUGAGGUGCGAAAGCGUGGGGAGCAAACAGG
rnacentral:rRNA from 1 species